UACGGGGGGGGCAAGCGUUGUUCGGAUUUACUGGGCGUAAAGGGCGGGUAGGCGGCCACCGCAAGUCAGUUGUGAAAUCUCUGGGCUUAACCCAGAAAGGUCAACUGAUACUGCGGGGCUAGAGUGCAGAAGGGGCAACUGGAAUUCUCGGUGUAGCGGUGAAAUGCGUAGAUAUCGAGAGGAACACCUGCGGCGAAGGCGGGUUGCUGGGCUGACACUGACGCUGAACUGCGAAAGCUAGGGGAGCGAACGGG
rnacentral:rRNA from 1 species